rnacentral:rRNA from 1 species
UUAGACAGCUAGGAUGUUGGCUUAGAAGCAGCCAUCAUUUAAAGAAAGCGUAAUAGCUCACUAGUCGAGUCGGCCUGCGCGGAAGAUGUAACGGGGCUGAAAUAUAGCACCGAAGCUGCGGCAUCAGGCGUAUCACUAAUACGCCUUACGAUUAACAACAUGGAAUGGUGCGAAGCGACAUGAAAGGUUGUUCAAGCAACCCGAACGUUGAGUCGGGCAUCUUUGAGUAAGGAUGAUUAGUGAUACGCCUGUUGGGUAGGGGAGCGUUCUGUAAGCGGAUGAAGGUGGCUCGAGAGGGCUGCUGGACGUAUCAGAAGUGCGAAUGCUGACAUAAGUAACGAUAAAACGGGUGAAAAACCCGUUCGCCGGAAGACCAAGGGUUCCUGUCCAACGUUAAUCGGGGCAGGGUGAGUCGGCUCCUAAGGCGAGGCUGAAAAGCGU